AACCCGGGGCACUCCUAGUGUGUUCUGGCCAGCCUGCCCUGAACAAAUCCCCUUUGGGCUUCACCGUUUCUGGCCUCAAUUGCCUCAUCUGGAAAAUGGGGGCAUAACCAUGCCUGGUUGAAAAGGGCGAAAACAGGUUCAUUCUGCUGCUUCCGUAAGACAAGGAUGGAAAAGGAUGCCUUAGAGCAAUGGUCAGCAAACUGUUUAUGUAAAGGGGCAGACAGAAAACAUCUGAGGCUCUGUGAGCCAUCCAGUCUCUGUCAUAACUACUCAACUCUUACACUGGAGAUAGGAUGAAAGCAGCAAUAGCCCUAAGUUAGGGUUCCCAUCCAUGUAACAAAGACUCCUGGUCAUGUGGCAUUUACUACCUCUGAGAUACCAUGCCUAACCAUGAAAGCCACAAAGAAAUUUCUUCUUUUACACGCCCUUAAGCAUAUUAUGGCCCCAC